UACGGAGGGUGCAAGCGUUAUCCGGAUUUACUGGGUUUAAAGGGUGCGCAGGCGGAUAUGUAAGUCAGUGGUGAAAUCUCUAGGCUUAGCCUGGAAAUUGCCGUUGAUACUAUAUAUCUUGAAUGCUGUGGAGGUAAGCGGAAUAUGUCAUGUAGCGGUGAAAUGCUUAGAUAUGACAUAGAACACCUAUUGCGAAGGCAGCUUACUACGCAGAUAUUGACGCUCAUGCACGAAAGCGUGGGGAUCAAACAGG
rnacentral:rRNA from 1 species